rnacentral:rRNA from 1 species
UGGUGCCAGCAGCCGCGGUAAUUCCAGCUCCAAUAGCGUAUAUUAAAGUUGUUGCAGUUAAAAAGCUCGUAGUUGAAUUUCGGGAUCAAAUUGUUGGUCGUGCCUCGGUACGUACUGGUAUUAUUGGUUCCUCCCUUCUGACGAACCACGAUGUCAUUAAUUUGGUGUCAUGGGAAAUCAGGACUGUUACUUUGAAAAAAUUAGAGUGUUUAAAGCAGGCUCGCGCUUGAAUACAUUAGCAUGGAAUAAUGAAAUAGGACGUUUGAUUCUAUUUUGUUGGUUUCUAGGAUCGACGUAAUGAUUAAUAGGGAUAGUUGGGGGCAUUAGUAUUCAAUUGUCAGAGGUGAAAUUCUUGGAUUUAUUGAAGACUAACUACUGCGAAAGCAUUUGCCAAGGAUGUUUUCAUUAAUCAAGAACGAAAGUUAGGGGAUCGAAGACGAUCAGAUACCGUCGUAGUCUUAACCAUAAACUAUGCCGACUAGGGAUCGGAUGAUGUUAAUUUUUUAAUGACUCA